GAGGGUAUAGCUCAGUGGUAGAGCGCAUGAUUAGCAUGCAUGAGGUCAUUGGUUCGAUCCCCUGUGCUUCCA
rnacentral:tRNA from 1 species